UACGUAGGGUGCAAGCGUUAAUCGGAAUUACUGGGCGUAAAGCGUGCGCAGGCGGUGAUGUAAGACAGAUGUGAAAUCCCCGGGCUCAACCUGGGAAUGGCGAUGAAGACUGCAAGGCUAGAGUUUGGCAGAGGGGGGUAGAAUUCCACGUGUAGCAGUGAAAUGCGUAGAGAUGUGGAGGAAUACCGAUGGCGAAGGCAACCCCCUGGGAUAACACUGACGCUCAUGCACGAAAGCGUGGGGAGCAAACAGG
rnacentral:rRNA from 1 species